rnacentral:rRNA from 1 species
UACGUAGGGACCAAGCGUUGUUCGGAUUUACUGGGCGUAAAGGGCGCGUAGGCGGCAAUUCAAGUCAGCUGUGAAAUCUCCGAGCUUAACUCGGAACGGUCAGCUGAUACUGUUUUGCUAGAGUACAGAAGGGGCAAUCGGAAUUCUUGGUGUAGCGGUGAAAUGCGUAGAUAUCAAGAGGAACACCUGAGGUGAAGACGGGUUGCUGGGCUGAUACUGACGCUGAGGUGCGAAAGCGUGGGGAGCGAACCGG